rnacentral:sRNA from 1 species
GCUGGGUGAUACAGUGGCAUACACCUGUAAUCCCAGGGGCUUGGGAGGCUGAGACAGGAGGAUCAUGAGUUUAAAGCCAGCCUCAGCAAAAACAAGGCGCUAAGCAACUCAGUGAGACCUUGUCUCUA